GGAGUUCGUGCGGCCCGUUGUCGGCUACUUCUGCAAGCUGUGUCAGCUGAUCUUUGCCGACGAGGACGAGGCCAUGCUGCAGCACUGCAGCAGCACAGCACACUACAGGAGAUACCAGGAGCAGACGGGGAAAGAUCCGUCAGCGAUGUGAAGCAGAAGCUCUUCACGGAGUCAGGAACCGAGCCGUUGUCUUUCUAAAAGGCUUAAGGAGGCUUAUGAAGAAGCCACACCAACUCCUGAGUCCUUCCUCUGAAGAAGCAGCUUUAAAGACCAUGAAGAACUCAGAUGCCACAUUUGAGGAAACAAGUUUAUUUUCUAAAACAUAAAAAUACAGUAAAGACAUGUUCAACGUUUCAGGAAUAAUGGACAAAGCCUGAAGUGAACCUGCUGGAAUUAAAAAAAACAAAACGAAAGUCCUCAAA